rnacentral:rRNA from 1 species
GGGGNNCAUAGCAAUAUGUUUCUAGUGGCGAACGGGUGANNNACGCGUAGACAACCAACCUUGUAAUGGGGGACAACACUUCGAAAGGAGUGCUAAUACCGCAUAAUCUCCAGGUUUCGCAUGGGAUUUGGAGGAAAGGAGCUGUAAGGCUCCGUUAUAAGACGGGUCUGCGUCUGAUUAGCUAGUUGGAGGGGUAACGGCCCACCAAGGCGACGAUCAGUAGCCGGUCUGAGAGGAUGAACGGCCACACUGGGACUGAGACACGGCCCAGACUCCUACGGGAGGCAGCAGUGGGGAAUCUUCCGCAAUGGACGAAAGUCUGACGGAGCGACGCCGCGUGAGUGAUGAAGGCCCUUGGGUCGUAAAGCUCUGUCAUUGGGGACGAACGAGCACGUCAGGAAAUGGGCGUGAAGUGACGGUACCCAAGAAGGAAGCCACGGCUAACUACGUGCCAGCAGCCGCGGUAAUACGUAGGUGGCAAGCGUUGUCCGGAAUUAUUGGGCGUAAAGCGCGCGCAGGUGGGAUCUUAAGUCCAUUUUGAAAGUUCGGAGCUUAACUCCGUGAUGGGAUGGAAACUGGGAUUCUUGAGUACCGGAGAGGAAAGCGGAAUUCCCCGUGUAGCGGUGAAAUGCGUAGAUAUGGGGAGGAACACCAGUGGCGAAGGCGGCUUUCUGGACGGUGUCUGACACUGAGGCGCGAAAGCUAGGGGAGCGAACGGGAUUAGAUACCCCGGUAGUCCUAGCCGUAAACGAUGGGUACUAGGUGUG